GACAUCUCCCUCCUUCCAACAAAAGAUGUCUCAAGUUUGUCGAAAUUUGGAUGCAUCUAAACAUGACUUAGUAUAUAGAUAUUCAAAUUUAGUUGAAGUUGAGACAUCUUUUGUUGGAUGGGAUGAGUAUAAA
rnacentral:pre_miRNA from 1 species